AACUGUGGUAAUUCUAGAGCUAAUACAUGCCGCUAAGCUCCGACCUUGCGGAAGGAGCGCAUUUAUUAGACCAAAACCAGCCGGGCCUCGGCUCGUAGUUUGGUGACUCUGAAUAACUCUGCUGAUCACAUGGUCCUAGCACCGGUGACAUAUCUUUCAAGUGUCUGCCCUAUCAACUUUCGAUGGUAGUUUAUGUGCCUACCAUGGUUGUAACGGGUAACGGAGAAUAAGGGUUCGACUCCGGAGAGGGAGCCUGAGAAAUGGCUACCACAUCCAAGGAAGGCAGCAGGCGCGCAAAUUACCCACUCUCAGCUCGAGGAGGUAGUGACGAAAAAUAACGAGACGGUUCUCUUUGAGGCCCGUCAUCGGAAUGGGUACAAUUUAAACCCUUUAACGAGGAUCUAUUGGAGGGCAAGUCUGGUGCCAGCAGCCGCGGUAAUUCCAGCUCCAAUAGCAUAUACCAAUUCUGCUGCUGUUAAAAAGCUCGUAGUUGGAUCGUUUCCGAAGGCGCAGUCUGUCUCAAGGACAUGUACUGCGUUCCGAGGAUAGAUACGCUGGUCUUGCCAUGGUCCUCUUGAUUGAGUGCCUUGGCUGGCUAGCAGGUUUACUUUGAAAAAAUUAGAGUGCUCAAAACAGGCGAUACUGCCCGAAUAGUGGUGCAUGGAAUAAUGGAAUAGGAUCUCGGUUCUAUUUUGUUGGUUUUAGGAGCGCGAGAUAAUGAUUAAGAGGGACAGACGGGGGCAUUCGUAUUGCGGCGUUAGAGGUGAAAUUCUUGGAUCGCCGCAAGACGAACAACUGCGAAAGCAUUUGCC
rnacentral:rRNA from 1 species